GGAGGGGUCGGAUAGCGGUUUAUUCCACCUGUCUUGAAAACAGGCAGCCCGAAAGGGUUCGGGAGUUCGAAUCUCCCCCCCUCCG
rnacentral:tRNA from 1 species